rfam:Gossypium raimondii Chr04_contig_1143, whole genome shotgun sequence.
UGUUAAAAAUUUCAUUCUUUUGUACUAGUAAAAAGUGGCGUGACUGACAGAAUAAUAGGACACUAACACGUGACUUGCCAUAUGUACCACAUGCUGAUAUACAUGGACCAGUUUUUAAUAUUAAAAAUAAAUGAAAUUUUUUUACA